rnacentral:lncRNA from 1 species
GGUGUUUGUCUAUUUCUGCAGGGGGUUAUCAGGAAAUAAGGAAGAAAGGCCCACAUGUCGGGAUUACAUAGAGAUAUCAACCCACCGUGCAAUUUUCUACCAUCUAGGAGACUCCAGAAGCCACGGGAAGGAAGCGGAGCCCGAAAGGGGCCAGGCCCAGGGCGCCCGCCCUGAGGACCUGGGCGCCCGCCCCCCUCUGGACUCCGUUCCGGACUCUCUUCGCACACGACGUUCCACCGACCUAUUGGAUCCAGAAUAACAUAGUACCACCUCGCCUAUCGACCCAAAAACGCAUAGAAGGGGAGGACUAUAUAAGGAGACCCCCUCUGGCCCCUGGAGGAGACAAGAAAUUAUCAUAGAGAUUGAGGGGUGCCCUCGAAGGAAAACCUCUUCUCUAAAUAAUAUUUCUUUUUAGGCUUAGCAACCAAUGUAAGGUAGAAAUAGAUCUUCUAGUUUCUAUUAGAUUGAGAGAGAUAGAGUGGAGGUGUGGAUC